rfam:Basidiobolus meristosporus CBS 931.73 K493scaffold_814, whole genome shotgun sequence.
UCCGCAUUGGUCCAGUGGUCAGGAUCUCUCGCUCUCACCGAGAAGGCCGGGGUUCGAUUCCCCGAUGCGGAA